UGGUGUACAAGCCACUCGAAUUACUGACCUGGAGCGUGAAAUUCUCGAUCUUGAGCAUGACAACGCUAAUCUUCAGCAAACCGUUACUCUUCAAGGCAAUCAAAUUGCCGGUCUGGGUGCCCAAGUCGCUGAUCUAUUAGCACGAAUGGCCAGACUUGAUGGACAACUGAAUCCAGAUCAAACACCACCGUCCUCACGUUCGGUUUCACCACAGCCAAUUCCGCUCCCAUGUCUACAUCAUCCAACAGGGAUAAAUAUCCCAUGUGACAAAUGUUUCCUGGAAACGCAAAUUCUACCUCAGUUUAAUAUGAUAAACGGUAUCCAUGCUCGACUGAGAUGAAUGACGGACGAAGUUUGUUUAAGUGAAGUGUAAAAAACUGACGAUGCCCCUUGAAAUCGAGUGCCUGAGCCGAAAACGAAGAUGUGUUCCAAGCAUCAAAUGUAUAUUAACUUGUAUAGAUAUGUUUAAGUUCAUUUGCCUUUCUAUAAUAGCAUAAUUUUACGACAAAAAAUGACAAAACAAAAUGUGUUCGGUCGAUAAA